rnacentral:rRNA from 1 species
UACGGAGGGUGCAAGCGUUGCUCGGAAUUAUUGGGCGUAAAGGGUAGGUAGGUGGUCUCAUUUGUCUGGGGUGAAAGCCUUGAGCUUAACUCAAGAAGUGCCCCAGAAACGGUGAGACUAGAGUCCUGGAGAGGGUCGUGGAAUUCCCGGUGUAGCGGUGAAAUGCGUAGAGAUCGGGAGGAACACCAGAGGCGAAGGCGGCGACCUGGGCUGUCACUGACGCUGAGGCGCGAAAGCUCGGGGAGCGAACGGG